GUCUCUUGGACCGUAAAGUACAAAAAUUAUCUAAGUUAUAUCUGUUCUUAUCAGUUUAAUAUCUGAUCUGUCCUUUAUUUGAGGACUGUAUCUUAAAUUGAUUUUUGAAACAGGGGGACGGAAUAGGGGCUUGCUCUGUCCACCCCAUGCACUGACCUGGUAUUGCAGUGCCUCCAAAAAAACCAAAAACAAA
rfam:Chelonia mydas contig244519, whole genome shotgun sequence.